UACAGAGGGUGCGAGCGUUGUCCGGAAUCACUGGGCGUAAAGGGCGCGUAGGCGGCCCGGUAAGGUUGCGGUGAAAGCCCGGGGCUCAACCCCGGGUCGGCCGUGGCAACUGCUGGGCUGGAGCACAGUAGAGGCGGGUGGAAUUCCGGGUGUAGCGGUGGAAUGCGUAGAGAUCCGGAAGAACACCGGUGGCGAAGGCGGUCUGCUGGGCAGUUGCUGACACUGAGGCGCGACAGCGUGGGGAGCAAACAGG
rnacentral:rRNA from 1 species